AUUGAACGCUGGCGGCAGGCCUAACACAUGCAAGUCGAGCGGAUGAAGGGAGCUUGCUCCUGGAUUCAGCGGCGGACGGGUGAGUAAUGCCUAGGAAUCUGCCUGGUAGUGGGGGGUAACGUCCGGAAACGGGCGCUAAUACCGCAUACGUCCUGAGGGAGAAAGUGGGGGAUCUUCGGACCUCACGCUAUCAGAUGAGCCUAGGUCGGAUUAGCUAGUUGGUGGGGUAAAGGCCUACCAAGGCGACGAUCCGUAACUGGUCUGAGAGGAUGAUCGGUCACACUGGAACUGAGACACGGUCCAGACUCCUACGGGAGGCAGCAGUGGGGAAUAUUGGACAAUGGGCGAAAGCCUGAUCCAGCCAUGCCGCGUGUGUGAAGAAGGUCUUCGGAUUGUAAAGCACUUUAAGUUGGGAGGAAGGGCAGUAAGUUAAUACCUUGCUGUUUUGACGUUACCAACAGAAUAAGCACCGGCUAACUUCGUG
rnacentral:rRNA from 1 species